rnacentral:rRNA from 1 species
CUACGUGCCAGCAGCCGCGGUAAUACGGAAGGUUCGGGCGUUAUCCGGAUUUAUUGGGUUUAAAGGGAGCGUAGGCCGGAGAUUAAGUGUGUUGUGAAAUGUAGACGCUCAACGUCUGACUUGCAGCGCGAACUGGUUUCCUUGAGUACGCACAACGUUGGCGGAAUUCGUCGUGUAGCGGUGAAAUGCUUAGAUAUGACGAAGAACUCCGAUUGCGAAGGCAGCUGACGGGAGCGCAACUGACGCUUAAGCUCGAAGGUGCGGGUAUCGAACAGGAUUAGAUACCCUGGUAGUCCGCACAGUAAACGAUGGAUGCCCGCUGUUGGUACCUGGUAUCAGCGGCUAAGCGAAAGCAUUAAGCAUCCCACCUGGGGAGUACGCCGGCAACGGUGAAACUCAAAGGAAUUGACGGGGGCCCGCACAAGCGGAGGAACAUGUGGUUUAAUUCGAUGAUACGCGAGGAACCUUACCCGGGCUUGAA